rnacentral:rRNA from 1 species
GACGAACGCUGGCGGUGUGCUUAACACAUGCAAGUCGAGCGGAAAGGCCCCUUCGGGGGUACUCGAGCGGCGAACGGGUGAGUAACACGUGAGUAAUCUGCCCUUCACUUUGGGAUAACCCCCGGAAACGGGAGCUAAUACCGGAUAUGACCACCGUCCGCAUGGGCUGGUGGUGGAAACUUUUUUGGGUGGGGGAUGUGCUCGCGGCCUAUCAGCUUGUUGGUGGGGUAAUGGCCUACCAAGGCUUUGACGGGUAGCCGGCCUGAGAGGGUGACCGGCCACACUGGGACUGAGACACGGCCCAGACUCCUACGGGAGGCAGCAGUGGGGAAUAUUGGACAAUGGGCGGAAGCCUGAUCCAGCAACGCCGCGUGAGGGAUGACGGCCUUCGGGUUGUAAACCUCUUUCAGCACCGACGAAGCGCAAGUGACGGUAGGUGCAGAAGAAGGACCGGCCAACUACGUGCCAGCCGCCGCCGUAAAAC